UGUAAUUAUCAGCAUUUCCUUCGUGAUAAACAUAACGAGCUUUACUUGCAGCAAUAUAUAAGGGAGUCUUUUUAUCCCCUUAAGUAUUUACAUUAAUGUCUGCAUUAUUUUCCAAUAGAAACUGGACCAUAUCUAUAUUCCCAUCCUCAACAGCUUGAUGUAAAGAAUUAUAUCCAUACCUAUUGUGGAUAUUGAUGCUUGCACCUCCGUCCUUUAGGUAUUUUGUUAUAUUAAAACAACUAUAUUUAGCGGCUACAUCCAGUAAUAUACCUGUGCUAAAUUUAUGAUCUAAUGAAAACUUACCAUCUUUCCACAAUUCAUACUCUUCCUUAUAUAAUAUAUACUAAUAUAGUGUCAUAUUUUGGGUAUAGCUCAACCAAU